rnacentral:sRNA from 1 species
CUCCCACUCAGCACGCAUAUUUUCUGGUCUGCUCAUCUGGCAUGGAAUCUUAUCUUUAGGCUUUACAUUCAGCCCAUGAUGGGGGCCGGCCUGAAUUAUGAAUGUUACCGAUUCGGCAUUUCCCCAUCCACAAACGCGCUGGUGAUCGGUGCCACGGUGAUGGAGGGCUUCUAUGUCAUCUUCGACAGAGCCCAGAAGAGGGUGGGCUUCGCAGCGAGCCCCUGUGCAG